ACUGCACACUGUUAGAGCUCAGAGCUGAGGCUUUCUGGCCAAUGAACUCCUGAGUGUAGGAAGUGUGCAAUAGCAACACGGCAGGUUUUUCGCUAGCGCCACAAGUACCUUCCUGGUCUAUUGAGUGGAGUUUGAUAGUAUUCCUUGCCACAUGA